rnacentral:SRP_RNA from 1 species
GCCAGGCGUAGUGGUGUGCGCCUGUAAUCUCAGCUACUCGGGAGGCUGAGGCAGGAGAAUCGCUUGAGCCCAGGAGGCGGAGGUUGCAGUGAGCUGAGAUCGUGCCACUGUACUCCAGCCUAGGCAACAGAGUGAGACUCUGUCUCAA